rnacentral:rRNA from 1 species
GCUAGCGGCGGGCCUAACACAUGCAAGUCGAGGGGUAACAGAAAAAAGCUUGCUUUUUUGCUGACGACCGGCGAACGGGUGCGUAACGCGUAUGCAACUUACCUUUAACAAGAGAAUAGCCCCGAGAAAUCGGGAUUAAUACUCUAUAAUAUCAUUUGAUGGCAUCUGAAGAUGAUUAAAGCUCCGGCGGUUAAAGAUAGGCAUGCGUUAGAUUAGCUAGUUGGUAAGGUAACGGCUUACCAAGGCAACGAUCUAUAGGGGGUCUGAGAGGAUGAUCCCCCACACUGGUACUGAGACACGGACCAGACUCCUACGAGAGGCAGCAGUGAGGAAUAUUGGUCAAUGGACGAAAGUCUGAACCAGCCAUGCCGCGUGCAGGAAGAAUGCCCUAUGGGUUGUAAACUGCUUUUAUGUAAGAAGAAACCCUUCCACGUGUGGGAGGCUGACGGUAUUACAAGAAUAAGCACCGGCUAACUCCGUGCCAGCAGCCGCGGUAAUACGGAGGGUGCAAGCGUUAUCCGGAUUUAUUGGGUUUAAAGGGUCCGCAGGCGGAAAAUUAAGUCAGUGGUGAAAUCCUACAGCUUAACUGUAGAACUGCCAUUGAUACUGAUUUUCUUGAGUAUAGUUGAAGUGGGCGGAA